CCUGAAAUCUGAAAUGGAUAAAACCUUUAAAUGAUCUGAUAGUUAUCCGCAUUGUUAAAAUAUCACUUUUAAUUCAAAAAUAUCUAGACAAGGCAAAAUGAAUAGAAGAACUGUAACUAUUGAGGAGCUAGAAGAUAGGUUAGAUGAUUAUAGUAUAGAACUUAAAAUAAAAUCUUCAUUCGAUUCUCUAGGUAAUAUGAAAAUAGAUGUAAA
rnacentral:lncRNA from 1 species